rnacentral:misc_RNA from 1 species
AAAACAAGAUCAUCACUCAAUUGUUCAGAUUUUAAUAGAUGGAAGAGAUCAUAACAUGAUCGACAUGGAAGGGAAUAGAUUGCCAACGCUUGUCUAUAUGUCACGAGAGAAGAAACCAAAUCGGCCACAUAACUUCAAGGCUGGAUCGAUGAACUCAUUGAUAAGAGUUUCGUCACAAAUAAGUAAUGCACCUAUCAUUCUUAACUUGGAUUGUGACAUGUACUCGAACGAUCCAGAUG